rnacentral:rRNA from 1 species
UGGGGAAUUUUGGACAAUGGGCGAAAGCCUGAUCCAGCAAUGCCGCGUGUGUGAAGAAGGCCCUUCGGGUUGUAAAGCACUUUUGUCCGGAAAGAAAUCCUUGGCUCUAAUACAGUCGGGGGAUGACGGUACCGGAAGAAUAAGCACCGGCUAACUACGUGCCAGCAGCCGCGGUAAUACGUAGGGUGCAAGCGUUAAUCGGAAUUACUGGGCGUAAGCGUGCGCAGGCGGUUUGCUAAGACCGAUGUGAAAUCCCCGGGCUCAACCUGGGAACUGCAUUGGGUGACUGGCAGGCUAGAGUAUGGCAGAGGGGGGUAAAUUCCACGUGUAGCAGUGAAAUGCGUAGAGAUGUGGAGGAAUACCGAUGGCGAAGGCAGCCCCCUGGGCCAAUACUGACGCUCAUGCACGAAAGCGUGGGGAGCAAACAGGAUUAGAUACCCUGGUAGUCCACGCCCUAAACGAUGUCAACUGUUGUUGGGGAAUUCAUUUCCUUAGUAACGUAGCUAACGCGUG